UGCAACUGAAUGGUGACUAGAU
rnacentral:piRNA from 1 species